ACAAAACCCGCCAGGCCGGUGCGGGAGCUGCGGAGCAUCCGCUGCGGUCCUCGCCGAGACCCCCGCGCGGAUUCGCCGGUCCUUCCCGCGGGCGCGACAGAGCUGUCCUCGCACCUGGAUGGCAGCAGGGGCGCCGGGGUCCUCUCGACGCCAGAUUUUUGUGUGGACAUAAGUUUUCAAUUCAUUUGAGUGAAUACAUAGGAGGACAAUUGCUGAAUUGUAUGAGAGAAAUCUCAUCAUCUGUGCAGCCUUCUUAAAGCAAACUAAGACCAGAGGGAGGAUUAUCCUUGACCUUUGAAGACCAAAACUAAACUGAAAUUUAAAAUGUUCUUCGGGGGAGAAGGGAGCUUGACUUACACUUUGGUAAUAAUUUGCUUCCUGACACUAAGGCUGUCUGCUAGUCAGAAUUGCCUCAAAAAGAGUCUAGAAGAUGUUGUCAUUGACAUCCAGUCAUCUCUUUCUAAGGGAAUCAGAGGCAAUGAGCCCGUAUAUACUU
rnacentral:lncRNA from 10 species